CAGCUGAGUUUCAGAGAUGCUCUCGAGCAAGUUUAUGGUGAAAACUUGUAUCCAGCACACGACCGCAGUAUGAAGUAUGAGCUGAAUUACGGCGAUUCCAACAUGGAACGUGUAUUUGCUCGGUGCACGAAAGGCAUUAGUGACAGUGUUCCAGAAUAUAAAGCCCGUGAGCUGAU